rnacentral:rRNA from 1 species
GAUGAACGCUAGCGGCAGGCUUAAUACAUGCAAGUCGAGGGGUAACAUGGUAGCAAUACUGAUGACGACCGGCAAACGGGUGCGGAACACGUACAGAACCUUCCUUUAAGCGGGGGAUAGCCCAUAGAAAUGUGGAUUAAUACCCCAUAGUAAUAUUGUCUGGCAUCAGAUGAUAUUUAAAGAUUUAUCACUUAAAGAUGGCUGUGCGGCUGAUUAGGUAGUUGGGCGGGUAACGGCCCACCAAGCCAGCGAUCAGUAACUGGUGUGAGAGCACGACCAGUCAC